rnacentral:tRNA from 1 species
UCACGAUUAGGUGAGCUGACCAGUCCUCUCGGAAGAGGUGACGGUCAUGAAUGUCAAAGGCGUGGCGCCGUUCGUCGCGGCGGCCGUGGC